rnacentral:lncRNA from 1 species
GCCUGUGAAGCCAAGAUCAAGUGCUGGAGGCCGGAGCCAUCUGUGAGCCUCCCUAAGCCACAGCAGUGAGGAGAUUUGUGUGCUGGGGCACUCAAAAGCCUCUACAAGAUCUUCGUUAAGAGUCAAGCUGCCGGUCAGGAGUCUGACAUUUGAAUCGUGUUGUGAUUUACAAAAAAAAAAAAAAAAAACCCUUCUGGUAGAUUUUAAUGAUGCCAUUUUUCCAAAGCCCCCACUGUAAGGUUUCAAAAGCACUGGUAGGCAUAGCAUAGAUGUUCCAGUUACACACUCAGUAAACACUGGUUAUCAGUCAUUGGAAAGGUUACCUGUGCAACCACCAGAUUCCAUUUCUACUUCUCUUCCCCAGAGGUCUCAGCAAUGAAUCGGGAAGACACGAAAGGUCUAAGACUAAAUAUCCAAAUUAUAAAUACUAAGGAAACUUUGUUUCCAGUUUGGCAAUGAUCCAGUCUAAAGUAGAACCUCAAUUUAAAAGAUUGAGGUUCAGAGCAUCAACACUCCAUACACCUCCCCAAGUCAGCCAUAGACUGUUUUUUUUUUCAGAAGUGAAACCAUAGUCCCUAUAUGCCUCUUUUUUCCCCCUCUUUUUUUUUCCAUCCUUAUAGAAUUCUCCCUGCUUUCAGGAAGAUACAAAGAAACCACAUGAACUAGACCAGCAUCUGUGAACAUUGUGCUAUGUUCCACCUUGUUUGAAAACUGUGAAACAGUGUGGCAUGCCAACAUCUCUAUAGUGAUUUUUACACGUGAUGUAUUCGGUGUAGCUGAGGUCACUUUGGAAGUCUGUGGCUGUUCCAUGUCCUAGGCAAGCCACUUGUUAACCCUGAGUGACAAUCUUUAUAAAUCAUUGUUAAUUCAGAGAUUUGUACGUGAGAAAACAACAACAAAAUUAGAGACUAUCUAGUUUCUGUAGGUUAUUUUUCCCAAUAAUGUUUCCAGAUCGAAUUUCCUCAUAGAGAAAAAAAAAAAGGUGUGCCUUGUGUCUGUGCUUCUCCGCUCUCUGAAAGGAUGGAUGGAUCUGAAGUUCUCAGCCCUCACCCCACACUGCUGGAAUCUUCUGUAGAGCUGCCUGCCAAGCCACCUGAAACACAGUGGCUCCCUGUGACACUCAGGCCUCAGAUGAGCCUCGCUUGCCUUCACUGCUUCUGUUUUAAACAGUAGUAAAAAACUGGCGUUCAAGGCAGAGUCCACAGGUGCUUAAAGGACACUUUCAGAAGAAGCUGAAGGCCUUGAGGUCUGCCCACCCAGCUGAUCUCGGAGUCCUGGCCCCAGUCCAUGUGUAGCUCUAAGAACAUGAAGUAGCUGGUUGCAAGAUGGACCAACUCACCAAGUGUCAGCCCAGGUAGUGAGAAACUUGCAGUAGACAUGGAGCUGGGCUCUUUUAAAUUUGUUUUGUGAAGUUUCAGCCUCUUAAUGCUUUUGUAUAGGAAUACUCACUGUGUGGUUUAAUCAUGAUUU